rnacentral:lncRNA from 1 species
CACACAUGCAGGCUUAGCUCAGGCCAGACCCUCACUGCUAAGGAGUUGCCAUUAUCAUCCCCGAUAUGGAGGCGGGGAACCCAAAACACCAAGAGCAGUGGGUGCUUAGGAAGCCACAGAGCUGGGAGUAGAGCCCCAGCAGCCUGAUCCAGAGCCCCUGUUCUUCACCACCACCCUGCCCUCCUCCAGGGAGCACAAUGGGGGUCCCGGAGCCUCUUUCCAUCUGUUGGAUCUCGGUGAGAGAUGAUAACAGCCAAGAAAACAAAAAUUGAAGUGAACACGAUGAUGAAGAGAGUAAAGAAAGAUAAAGACAAGGCUGAAGGUGGCAUUCAUAAAAGUCCCAGCGCUGAAGGGAGAGGCUGUGCUUGAAGAAGAAAAAGUCUGCUAGCCACGCAUGCAGAUAUUCCCGAAAGCGGACUAAACCUGAUAUUUACAAAAACAUAGUUUUAAAUGAUCAAGACAGUACAAGUUUCAACAUCAG